GACGAACGCUGGCGGCGUGCCUAACACAUGCAAGUGGAGCGACGAACCAGGGCUUGCCCUGGAGCAAAGCCGCGAACGGGUGAGUAACACGUGGGUAACCUGCCCCGACGACUGGGACAACCCGAGGAAACUCGGGCUAAUACCGGAUGCGCCCUGCGCACACGAGUGUGCCGGGUAAAGGAAGCUUCGGCCUCCGCAUCGGGAGGGGCCCGCGGCCCAUUAGCUUGUUGGUGAGGUAACGGCUCACCAAGGCUG
rnacentral:rRNA from 1 species